AGACGAUUCCAUCAUUCCAAGGACGAAGAAGUACAGCAACAACCCUCCUUCGUCUUCUUCUUCUGAGACGUUUUAUGAUCCAAGUUCGGGUUCAAUAAUUCAUUAAGUAUCUGCCAGGGGAAGGGGAUUCUAUAAUGGAGGCACCAGACUGUCCACUAUAACUGUCAAAUCUUUCUGUUUGCGGAGUGACGCUGUGAUUCAUGAGGAUGCUGCCGAUGAUAGCAUUU
rnacentral:lncRNA from 1 species